rnacentral:rRNA from 1 species
AUUGAACGCUGGCGGCAUGCCUUACACAUGCAAGUCGAACGGCAGCACGGGAGCUUGCUCCUGGUGGCGAGUGGCGAACGGGUGAGUAAUACAUCGGAACGUACCCUGAAGUGGGGGAUAACGUAGCGAAAGUUACGCUAAUACCGCAUAUUCUGUGAGCAGGAAAGAGGGGGAUCGCAAGACCUCUUGCUUUAGGAGCGGCCGAUGUCGGAUUAGCUAGUUGGUGAGGUAAAGGCUCACCAAGGCGACGAUCCGUAGCGGGUCUGAGAGGAUGAUCCGCCACACUGGGACUGAGACACGGCCCAGACUCCUACGGGAGGCAGCAGUGGGGAAUUUUGGACAAUGGGCGCAAGCCUGAUCCAGCCAUGCCGCGUGAGUGAAGAAGGCCUCGGUUGUAAAGGACUCUUUCUAGCCGGAAG